UUAUUCUUCGCGUAACAUUUAUAGAAUCAGAAAACGAUUACGGUGAUUUUUGAACUUAAUCGCUAACUUAUAUCACCAUGAAAGUUGAAGGCUCCAAGAGAUGAAAGUGGAUAACUAUACUUCUUGUUGGUUUGCUGUCACUUGUUGUGGGCGCAAUUUCGGUAGGGGGAUCAAACCUGCUUCUUUUUACGGGUGAGAUGCCAAAUCCGCCAACACAUAUUCUCGAGCCUGUUGCUUCUUUCAAGAGUGUUCCUCGUUGCUAUAACCUGCACAUCUCCGUUUUAUUUAUCGAAGGUAUAUCUGAUAUUAUGAUUUGAUACUUAAACGAGUUUUGAAGAGGAUAUAUGAAAUUAUCACGAAUACACAAUUUUAUAGUGAACUAGAUUGAGAGGGAUGAAUGAAACCUUGAUCCAGGUUCGGUGGAGGUCGGAUUCAUCAACACUAUUAACAACUUCUUCAACAAAGUAGUUGGUGGGACUGAAGUGUUUAUCGCGCUUGACGUUGUCUUGAAGCUUUUCCAGCUUCAUCUUUGUAUCAACUCCAUUUUGAGUCUUCAAAUUUGCUCCUAAGUCCAAGAUCGCCUCCAAGUACCCGUUUAUCCAUUCGUUCCUUGCCAUCUCAAAACCGCUACCGCUUCCUAGCGGCAGUGGUAGUGGUGGUGGUGGUGAUGGGAGGAGGAGAAGCUUUCUUGGUUUGAAACAGAUAUGUGGGAGGCCUUUGAUGCCUUAUAAAGGCCUUUUGGCAUACAAGACAAUAUUAUGCCUUCUUUUAGUUACUAAAAUUGUUUUGUGAAUACAUAAGAUUCUUUUCACUUUGCACACUUACCUUUUAGCACAGAAACUUAUUUAAAUUGAUUGUAGAAAUAUGUAAAUUAUUUUUAGAACAUAUUUUAGCAUAGGCCGGUUUUUGUGACAAACUCAAGUUAGUUGUGUGAACUGUCAUAUGGUAAUGAAAAUAAGUUAGUUAUGUUAAGUUUUUUUACAGAUUAUAUAAUGAUAUUGUUUCUAUUGUACAACCCUGUGUAAUACAU
rnacentral:lncRNA from 1 species